UACGUAGGGAGCAAGCGUUGUCCGGAAUCAUUGGGCGUAAAGCGCGCGUAGGCGGCCCCGUAAGUCCGCUGUGAAAGUCAAAGGCUCAACCUUUGAAAGCCGGUGGAUACUGUGGGGCUAGAGUCCGGAAGAGGCGAGUGGAAUUCCUGGUGUAGCGGUGGAAUGCGCAGAUAUCAGGAGGAACACCAAUAGCGAAGGCAGCUCGCUGGGACGGUACUGACGCUAAGGCGCGAAAGCGUGGGGAGCGGACAGG
rnacentral:rRNA from 1 species